GGCGGCCAUCCAUGUUGAAUAUACCGGUUCUCGUUAGAUCAAGCAUCAUUGGGCGCGGUCAGUACUUGGGUGGGUGACCACCUGGGAACACUCGCGUGC
rnacentral:rRNA from 1 species